rnacentral:lncRNA from 1 species
CUCAAACUGGGCCUGGAGGGCCUUCAGCUCCUCAGUCGUGGCACUGAUGGUGGCCUGCGGGGAGAAGGGAGCCCACGGUGGCACCAGGGAGCUGGGCCCAGCAGUGGAGGGUGAGGCUGCUGGGAUGAGGAGACAUCCACGGCCCCUGACAGCUGUGAUGUCGCCCUCUCCCGCUGCGCAGUGCCCUGGGGAUGGGGCACAAGCCCUCCAUCCCGGCUCCGAGUCACCGAGCGUCCCCCAAGGCCCCGCUGCCUGGACGCCCCGGCCCCCCAGCAGGCGGCCUGCGCGUGCCUCUGUGCAGUCAGUGAGAAGGGCUCCCGUUCAGAAUGGGCAGAGAAGGGGGCUGCCUCCCGCGCCUGGCACCAUGGCCUGUGUUCUGUUCACUGCACACUGAACCAUACAUUCAACGCCAGUCAGGACUCAAUGUGGGUGUCCUUUCCUGCCGAGAGUUUCCUCUGGUGCAGGGCCAGCCGCCUCGGGUUGUUUCUCCUUUGGAAGGAUCUCUCUGGCCCAUCUGGGGGAGGGCAGCCCAGAGACACGUGUGCACCUGUGUGGGCUGACCUAUGCGCAGUGUCACCAAUGUCUGUGACAUUGCUGUAAUGGCAACAAAGCUGGAGGCAACCCAGAUGCCCGUGGAAGGAAGAACAGCCACAGGAAGACCCAGUUCUGGCAGCUCAGCAUGCAGCCCAGAAACAGAAGAACAAAGCUGCAGAUACACAGCUGGGAAAGGCCACCGAGAUGCUUUGAUAAGUGAGAAGAGGAAAGCCCAGGAGCCGGCAUAGACUUUUCAUUCCUUUUGU